UCAAGCUACAAAGGGUUUAUAAUGAAUGACUUGGCAGAUAAAGGCGAUGAAGGACGUGGAAAGCUGCGAUAAGCCUCGGGGAGCCGCAAUUGGCUUUGAUCCGGGGAUCUCCGAAUGGGGCAACCCCAUCAGGGUCAUACCUGAUGAUCUCCUGCUGAAUACAUAGGCAGGCUGAAGCUAUACCAGGUGAACUGAAACAUCUAAGUAACCUGAGGAAAAGAAACCGAAUGGGAUUCUCUUAGUAGCGGCGAGCGAAGAGAGAACAGGCUAAACCGACAAGCUUGCUUGUCGGGGUUGCGGGACCUUAAUGUGGGAUUGUGAUGGAAUAGCAGAAGUGUUUGAAAAAACACGCCAUAGACUGUGAGAGCCAGGUAUGCGAAAUUCCAAAGCACCCUAGAGGCAUCCCAAGUACUGCCGGGCACGGGAAAUCUGGCAGGAAUCUGGCCCGACCAUGGGCUAAGCCUAAAUACUCAAUCUGACCGAAAGUGGACAAGUACCGUGAGGGAAAGUUGAAAAGAACCCCGGGAGGGGAGUGAAAUAGAACCUGAAAUUAUAAACCUACAAGCGGUUGGAGGCCUAUGCAUAUCUUCGGAUAUGAACGGCUGACAGCGUACCUUUUGCAUAAUGGACCAACGAGUUAUUAUGUCUUGCAAGCUUAAGCACCUUUGGUGUGUAGGCGUAGGGAAACCGAGUCUGAAUAGGGCGAAUAAGUAGCACAUAAUAGACCCGAAACCACGUGAUCUAUCCAUGGCCAGGUUGAAGCUUAUCGAAAGAUAAGUGGAGGACCGAACCCAUUGUCGUUGAAAAGACUCGGGAUGAGCUGUGGAUCGGAGUGAAAGGCUAGUCAAACGUGGCAAUUGCUGGUUCUCCCCGAAAUAGUUCUAGGACUAGCUUCGAGGAAAUACCGAACAGGGGUAGAGUUACUGAAUAGACUAGGGGCCUUACCGGGCUGCCAAAUCUAACCAAACUCCGAAUACUGUUCGGCUUAUCUCGGAAGUCAGAGCAAGAGGGCUAAGCUUCUUGCUCGAGAGGGAAACAGCCCAGACCAUCAACUAAGGUCCCAAAUAUAGACUAAGUGGUAAAGGAAGUGAGAUCACGUAGACAGCCAGGAUGUUGGCUUAGAGGCAGCCAUCAUUUAAAGAGUGCGUAACAGCUCACUGGUCGAGUGAUUUCGCGCCGAAAAUGAUCGGGGCUCAAGUCUAUAACCGAAGUUAUGGCUUUGUUUAUCUUCGGAUAAACAAGGGGUAGGGGAGCGUAGUGCUAUGCGUUGAAGGCAUACUGAAAAGAAUGCUGGAGUUAGCACUAGUGAUACUGUUGGUAUGAGUAGCGAAAACUAUAGCGAGAAACUAUAGCAUCGAAAAUCUAAGGUUUCCUGGGGAAGGUUAAUCCGCCCAGGGUUAGUCGAUCCUAAGCAGAGGCCGAAAGGCGUACGCGAUGGAUAUCAGGUUAAUAUUCCUGAACUGACUACAAAGCGUUAUCACCUUAAUGUGACGGGGAAGGUUAUGCAAGCAGAGUGUUGGAUGUCUCUGUCUAAGGCCGUAGUUCUUGUCGUAAGACAGGGAUGAGAACUGAUGGGGAGCUCAAACGCAAGUGCGAGCGAAGUUGCAGAUACCAUGCUUCCAAGAAAAACCAUUAAGGGAGUGAUGUAGUCAAUCGUACCGGAAUCCGACACAGGUAGAUAGGCUGAAUAAGCCAAGAUGCUCGAGAGAAUCCUCCUUAAGGAACUAGGCAAAAUCACCCCGUAACUUCGGGAGAAGGGGUGCCUGAUUCGUGUAGUGCUCCGCGCAUGAAGCGAUGAUGGCCACAGUAAAGAGGCUCGGGUGACUGUUUAGUAAAAACACAUCACUCUGCAAAGUCGUAAGACGACGUAUAGGGUGUGACACCUGCCCGGUGCUGGAAGGUUAAGGGGAGUGGUCAGGCGCAAGCCGAAGCUACGAACUGAAGCCCCAGUAAACGGCGGCCGUAACUAUAACGGUCCUAAGGUAGCGAAAUUCCUUGUC
rnacentral:rRNA from 1 species